rnacentral:lncRNA from 1 species
AACUGCCGAUUUCCAGACAACACAGAUGGGAGUUGCUCCGAAGAACCUUUCUAAACAGAAGUGUUUCAUAUGCAGUCACUCUAACCAAGGACUGUGAGAAUCAUCACAGUGGGACUGCAGUGUAUGCCCUUGGCCCACUUCACGGGCUUUGCUUAUUUGGGAAUACCAUUUCCUUUCUCUGAUCCUCUCUUUGGUUAAUUUCUUUAUGGAGCUGGGCUUCUGUUCCUGGAUGAUUUCCAGGUAACCUGAGAAUUUAGAGCUGCAGUAAUGCCAUUUGUCUCGAGCCUGGCCAGAUGUUGACACUUCCAGACCUCUAGUCAUCAGUGACUAAAGUUCCAGGCCUCUAAGUUCAAACAUCUUUUUCCACAUGCCGAGUCUCUGGGGAUGGUGGCUCAUGAUCCUGUGGUGUAAAUGGUAGCCAAAGGUAUGUUAAGAGGGGAGCUUUUCUUAGACAGCAGACAGGGUUAGAAAUGAGGCAAUGAUUGACAUACAAUGAAAUUACAAAGGCUUGGUAAAACCAUGAAA